rnacentral:rRNA from 1 species
AUUGAACGCUGGCGGCAGGCCUAACACAUGCAAGUCGAGCGGAGCGGCGGACGGGUGAGUAAUGCCUAGGCAUGUGCCUGGUAGUGGGGGAUAACGUCCGGAAACGGGCGCUAAUACCGCAUACUAUCAGAUGAGCCUAGGUCGGAUUAGCUAGUUGGUGGGGUAAUGGCCGACCAAGGCGACGAUCCGUAACUGGUCUGAGUGGAAGAUCAUCCAACGUGGAACUGAGACACGGUCCAGACUCCUACGGGAGGCAGCAGUGGGGAAUAUUGGACAAUGGGCGAAAGCCUGAUCCAGCCAUGCCGCGUGUGUGAAGAAGGUCUUCGGAUUGUAAAGCACUUUAAGUUGGGAGGCGUUACCAGCAGAAUAAGCACCGGCUAACUUCGUGCCAGCAGCCGCGGUAAUAC